AGCUGCGUAACGGUUCACACACUGAUGGCGCCUGGAGGUUUGGCGAAAUACUGACAGGAUGCGACGUCAACGGGAGCGCAGGGCCAAGAUACCCUUUAUAUCAAACCGUCUAUCCUGGAGCAGAAAAAUCCUGUCUUCAUUGCUAUAGCUACAGAUUCAGAAAUGAGCAUGUAACAAAUUCAGGCCAAAGAGAGGCAAUGGAAAUCAGAGAAACACUGUUCCUGAAAGCUUCUGUCACUCAAGAAUCCAUGAAACAUUCAUGAACUUCACAUCAGAAGCCAAGCCCAGAAAAUAUGGGUUUAAGGUUUGCCUAUAUGUCCAAUACAAGAGAAAAAAGAACAUUCCACUUCUUUAGAAGGUUCUACUUUGAUCUCCUGGUGCUAUUGUGGAGGUGCAUACCCAACAGUUUGAUAAUGUAGAGGAAGUGAUAGCUUUGUCUCGUGGAAUCUGGGUCGACCUCACAGAGGAGCUGUUAUUUGUUCUGGAUAUUGAACAGUGACAAGGAUUCAGUGGGAGAGAAAGAGGCGAGGAUUUUAAUGCAACUUGUUACACAAGAUGAACCCAAACAUAUUUGACUUUUUAUUUUCAGAAA
rnacentral:lncRNA from 1 species